rnacentral:tRNA from 1 species
GCACCCGUAGCUCAAUUGGAUAGAGCAUCGGUCUUCGGAACCGAAGGUUGUAGGUUCGAGUCCUACCGGGUGUA